GCGUCGCAGGACAUGGUGUCCAAACUUCCUCCAAAGUUGUAGGAGCAGGUUCGAUUCCUGCGCGGCGCGCCA
rnacentral:tRNA from 2 species